rnacentral:rRNA from 1 species
AGUGAACGCUGGCGGUAGGCCUAACACAUGCAAGUCGAACGGCAGCACAGUAAGAGCUUGCUCUUACGGGUGGCGAGUGGCGGACGGGUGAGGAAUACAUCGGAAUCUACUUUUUCGUGGGGGAUAACGUAGGGAAACUUACGCUAAUACCGCAUACGACCUACGGGUGAAAGCAGGGGAUCUUCGGACCUUGCGCGAUUGAAUGAGCCGAUGUCGGAUUAGCUAGUUGGCGGGGUAAAGGCCCACCAAGGCGACGAUCCGUAGCUGGUCUGAGAGGAUGAUCAGCCACACUGGAACUGAGACACGGUCCAGACUCCUACGGGAGGCAGCAGUGGGGAAUAUUGGACAAUGGGCGCAAGCCUGAUCCAGCCAUACCGCGUGAGUGAAGAAGGCCUUCGGGUUGUAAAGCCCUUUUGUUGGGAAAGAAAAGCAGCAGGUUAAUACCCAGCUGUUCUGACGGUACCCAAAGAAUAAGCACCGGCUAACUUCGUG